rnacentral:rRNA from 1 species
UAGAUGGCAGCAACGCCGAGAGAGGGACGACNCCCUUCGGGUUGAAACCUCUUUUAGCAGGGAAGAAGCGAAAGUGACGGUCCUGCAGAAAAAGCGCCGGCUAACUACGUGCCAGCAGCCGNGGUAAUACGUAGGGCGCAAGCGUUAUCCGGAAUUAUUGGGCGUAAAGAGCUCGUAGGCGGUUUGUCGCGUCUGCUGUGAAAACCCGAGGCUCAACCUCGGGCCUGAGUGGGUACGGGCAGACUAGAGUGCGGUAGGGGAGAUUGGAACUCCUGGUGUAGCGGUGGAAUGCGCAGAUAUCAGGAAGAACACCGAUGGGGAAGGCAGAUCUUUGGGCCGUAACUGAC